GGUAACCAAGAGAAUGGGAGCUUGCUCCCUGAUGUUAGCGGCGGACGGGUGAGUAACACGUGGGUAACCUGCCUGUAAGACUGGGAUAACUCCGGGAAACCGGGGCUAAUACCGGAUGGUUGUUUGAACCGCAUGGUUCAGACAUAAAAGGUGGCUUCGGCUACCACUUACAGAUGGACCCGCGGCGCAUUAGCUAGUUGGUGAGGUAACGGCUCACCAAGGCGACGAUGCGUAGCCGACCUGAGAGGGUGAUCGGCCACACUGGGACUGAGACACGGCCCAGACUCCUACGGGAGGCAGCAGUAGGGAAUCUUCCGCAAUGGACGAAAGUCUGACGGAGCAACGCCGCGUGAGUGAUGAAGGUUUUCGGAUCGUAAAGCUCUGUUGUUAGGGAAGAACAAGUGCCGUUCAAAUAGGGCGGCACCUUGACGGUACCUAACCAGAAGGCCACGGCUAACUACAUGCCACCAGCCGCGGUAAUACGUAGGUGGCGAGCGUUGUCCGGAAUUAUUGGGCGUAAAGGGCUCGCAGGCGGUUUCUUAAGUCUGAUGUGAAAGCCCCCGGCUCAACCGGGGAGGGUCGUUGGAAACUGGGGAAAUUGG
rnacentral:rRNA from 1 species